rnacentral:rRNA from 1 species
UACGUAGGGUGCGAGCGUUAAUCGGAAUUACUGGGCGUAAGCGUGCGCAGGCGGUUCGUUGUGUCGGCGGUGAAAGCCCCGGGCUCAACCUGGGAAUGGCCGUUGAAACUGGCGAACUGGAGUGUGGCAGAGGGGGGUGGAAUUCCGCGUGUAGCAGUGAAAUGCGUAGAGAUGCGGAGGAACACCGAUGGCGAAGGCAGCCCCCUGGGCUAACACUGACGCUCAGGCACGAAAGCGUGGGGAGCAAACAGG